UAACAAUAUUGUCAGUACCCACUGGAGGGGCCCUGGGCAAGUUGCUUUUCUUUUUAAAUUACAGGAAAAUGGGAAGGGCUGUUGUUGAAACUACAAUCAGUUGAGAGGUUGGAAGAGCCUAGUGAUUCCAAAUGCAGAAUCAAAAGGUGCUCCAUGGCCAGAUGUGGCUAGUGGCCACUGAGGGCACAGUGCACAAAGAAAAAGAUCCCAUCCUUGGAGGAACUUAUAUUGGAGAGCACCAGACCACACUGUAAACAUCAAGAAAGAAGCGAUCUUAGCUGUCUAGUUUAUACUUAGCUCUUAGAACAGUGCCUGGCACAUAGAAGCACUUCAUAAAUAUUUGUUGAAUGGAAGAAUAAUGAGACUUUGUAAGACAAAAAACAAAACAAACAAACAACAAAACCAGAUCACAGAGCCUGAAACAGAGAUUUAGAAGCUUCUUAAAUGUGCAUCUACACAGGUCAAAGCAGAAAACCUAGGACAAGAUUGUGACAAAUACAGGCCACCACACUGCCUCUUCACCCUCAGAAAGACAGACAAACAUCAUCAAUGAACAACAAAAUUCUGAUGAUCAGCUGGGCUCUCUGAAUCACAUCUAGCAAUGUCAGCACCAUGAACCAAGCAAUAGACAAAGUUUUGCCACUUACCCUCUUUUGAUCUUCCAGUCCAUGGGUAACUGGCUUUCUUUUCUGCUGUUGGCUGGACUCAGAAAUUGAUUCCAUUUCCCAGGCAUAAAAUCCCCCGUUCUUCUUCAGUGAUGCAUCCAAAUCCACAGAAGAAAAAAAUAACCCAGGCAAAAGUGAGGGAUGCACAUCUGCCAGCCAAGGAAAUCAGCGCUGCCUCUUCAAAGGUCUUGCUGUCUUCUUUGAGGCGACUUGGGAGUCUUACUUGCCAGCGCUGCAGUAGCAAUGAGGGCAGCUGCCACUGACAUUGUGAGAACAGGGACCUGGGGUUUUUACUGCCAGUCUGAGAUUCACUUCAUGAGAGCCCAAAGGACAGAUUUAAGCAAAGAAGGGUCCAUAUCCUGGGACACGUGCCACAACACUGCCCCAGAAAUCCUUUUGCUCUCUGUCUCCUUGGCACAGAUAAUUUAUAUGUCGAUAACAAUGUAAAUGGGCAUUUAAUCCACCGAGCUGAUAACAUCCACAUCCCUCUCCGCGCAGGCCUUGGCUCCCAUAAAUCACCACAAACGCUGUGCAGCAAGCAGUCCCUCACAGCUCCUGGGAGCGUUCAUGACAGCGAGUGCCCCUCCCGGCGGCAUCUUCCUUCAUGGAGUAAGACCCGUACCUGAGAAGAAAAUGUGCAGCGGUCAGGUUUGUCUCCGGUGCGGAAGUACAGAUUUAAGGCUGUUUUGCCCGCCAUCUGAAGCCGCACAGUGAGGCCUACACCAAGCAGCAGCCAGCGAUCUUCCUCCCAGCCCUUCAGUGCUCUGAUCACAUCCAUGCACAAGCAGACUUGGGGACCUCCUGGGCUCCUUGCUUCUGUUGUUCAUGAAAGAACACACAGGAGCUGCAAAGGAGUUAUCUUUCCAACCUAUGUGGGGUGCAGCAUCACCCUCAUCACCACAGGAAUAAGGCACCAAGGUAUGAUGAGACAGGGAAGCAAUGGUCUGUGAAGCAAAAAGCAUCAACAUUUUUCCCCCCAAUUACAGCCUCGGGAGAUUGCGUAUGGCAAGCUUAAACUCCAGGAUCCACAGAGCAAGUGAAAAAGAGCAGGCUGGAUCAUCUGAGGGUUGAAAAGCAACUGUGCUGCAGAGCCAGAGCCGCGUUCCCUGCCUGGGUGCCUGCAGGCAGAGCAGACACCGGUCACCUCCUAGCUGACGUCACAGAAGCUCCGAGGGACAGGGAGGGAGGAGACAAGAGGGGAACCUCUGCACCAAGGAAAGCAUUCACACUGGAUGUGCCCUCCCACAAACGGUUCCAGAGGUGGGGAUACGUCUGAGAAGCCUGGUGAAGAUGUAUCCAUCAACUGUAAUGAAUGCAUCUUCCACCAUACCUGCACCACCAGCAAAGAAAGGCAAAAGGGCAUUCAAGGCCUGCCUGAAAGGCUCUAGUCUCCUGCCAGCAUUUCUAACCAAGCACUAGCCAUUCUAUAGUUCAGGCUGUGCCAGCCUCCGGGACAGCCCUGGCCAGAUCUGGCCACUGUGGGCACUAGACAGAAGCCUCCACACCCUCCCUUGCAGCUGUCCGAACCGCCGGCUACUUUGGAACAAGGCCGAAGCCCUCCCCUGUCACAAAAAGCUUCCACACAGCUCAAUGCCAAAGCAGAGUGAAAGGCAGGCAUGAGACAAGGCCACAGAGGGCUUGCUAGGAGGUGGAGGAGGGGUGGGGCACUCUCGGGGGAGAAGCUGCAGAAGUACUGUAACUUUGCAAGGGCAUUCCUCUUAAGUUGAAGGCUUGUCCUGCCCUAUACGAAACACCUGGCCAGAACACAUUUCUGCACAUGAAUUCCAAGUCAGGGUAUUCUGAUUUUCAUUAAGAAUCAAUGAAAAGUCAAAUGUCCAAAAGGGACCCCUAAGGGUGGCAGACAUAGCUGAGCUUCCAGGCAGAGGUAGAUACCAUCACCAUGGCCACAGCCCUGUUCCAAGGAUCCUUGACAAAGGUGAAACCCCAGAUCCACUCUUUUCAGCUCACUUGCUCACAGUGCGUGUGAACUCUGGCAGACUGCUCCAAGAGGGUGGCCUUUUCUAAGUGUCAGCUGAGAUCUGAAACUAGAAGACUCAGUUCCAGGUUUGAGUCUCAAGUCUCCAACUUCCUCACUGCAUGACCUUGGGUGAGUAUUUUAACCUAUGUGACUCCAGCUUUCUCAUCUAUAAAGUCCAGGCACUGAUGUCACAUAAGUGUGGAAAGAUCAAUAUCACCUACUGACACACGCAUCGAAUACAUGAGCUGCUGACAUGUACAAAUGUUUGCUCUCUGCCAUGUGUCUGUCUGCAGCUUUACAUAUCCAUUCAUUCAAAUCUCUGUUAAAUACUUUCCUAUGUGCCAAUUUUCUUAAUUCAAAUAGAGUAUUAUUUUCAGGUCUUUGUUAAAGACAAGAAAGGUCAAGUAACUUGGCUAAAGUCCCACAGCCAGGAAGUUGUGGGUCUGGAUUUUGAACCCAGGUCUGACUUCAAAGUUCUUGUUCAUAUCUAGGCUGCUCCAGAAAGAUCACUGUUAUUCAGCUUUUCAGAAGAGGCCUGAGUCCAGAGCCCACAUUUUUACAGCUACCGGCUCUCUGGCUCUCCUCAUGAAUAAUAAUAAAAGAAAGAAAAGCCAAGUGCCCAGAAGGGUCUCCUCCCUGGAAGGCCUUCUCCAGAGGGGCUGCUCCAUCAGCAGCUCUGCGUGCUUCCUGUGUCUGAGACAGCCCUGUGCUCUGCACCAGGUCCCCAUGCUGGACGGUCUCCUAGGUGAGCCCCUGUCACAUCCCAUCACACCAGCCGGCUCACACACCCCAAGUGCACAUGGGGACAGACGUUCUCUCUCGCCACAGAAAUACCUCCCACCAGCAGGGAGUGGGUGAUGCUCAGCACCUCCUUUGAGCCUUUUGUUUUUCCUGAGAGUCAGUCUCCACCAGUUCUGGGCUAUUGCCGUCCUUGUGUCCCUGUGCCAGGGCACAGAGGGGUCACAGGAGGAAGGGGAGAAGCCAGGAUGUUGUUGUCAGCUAGCUGCCAAAUCCAAUCUGUUUCCUGAUUGGUGAAGGGGGAGAUUUCAUAUGAGCUAUGUAAAAGCUGAUGUAAAAGCUAUCGUUCUUAAUGCCAGAGAAAUCUCAGGAAGUUGAAAUAUGCUUGGGGGAAAGAAAAGAGCCAAAAGGCAGUACUAAGAACAUUUAGCUGGAGUGUUGAGAAGUGAACAUUCCUGCUGGAUUAAUCCCUAAAUGCAGCCAUAUAUCAGCAGCUUCUCCCCUCUGCCAUAAGUCAGCCAGGAGCAGCUGCAAGGCAGAGGGAAGAAAAGAGAAGGGUCGGCCAGGUUGCACUGUAAGAUAAGGGGCAGAGUGGGGGUUGUGUGCAGGCCCCAUCUUCUCUGGAAGUUUGGAAAACAAGCCAGCCACACUGACAUCCUGAACACACUGCCACGGUCUCCUCCUGCCUGGCCCAAACACUGUCUCCAAGAAGCUUCAAAUUCCCUUUCGCAUCUGCCUGAAUUCUUCCUCCUUCUGGCCAACCCCAAAGGAAAAAAAAAAAAAAAAAAAUAACAAAGGCAAAGGGAGCUGACACAUAGGACAGCAGGAGAGGGUCCAGUGGGUCUAGUCUUAGGGGCACAGGCAUUCUCAGAGAUGUCCGCUGCAGUCCUUUCUUGCAAGAAAACUCCAUUUCCUGGUAAAGGCCAAUCUUGGGUUCCUCAUGCCAGAGAAGCCGCAGGCCGGCCCUCCUAGGUGGCACAGACCUGCCCUGGACAAUGGAGCUGUGAACUCAUCGUGUACGCUUUGCCAAACCACCUUUAAACUCUCCAGAGUUCUCACAAUUGGGCAGCGUCCCUUCAGCCUUCUCACUGUCCUGCCUUUCUCCGUCGCUGCUACCCCCCACCCAACCUUACUCAUCGUGGUGCCUGCCAGGAUAGGGAAAACUGGUUCUAAACCCAGAUUAAAGGUUGGAGUGGAGAGAAAGUGAGAAAGGGAAGCCCGACUUGUUUCAUCUUAUAAGUGGAGUUCAGUUUCUGAAAGAGGAGCGCAUCCAUCUUUCCAGUGGUCUAAUUAACACUCAUCACCAACACAGCGUUUUUAAUUAGUCCUAGGUGCCAAUAGGGGAAACCCAGCCUUUCAUUAAUCAAUCAAUAAAUAAGUUACAUAAGACGUGGGGAAGAGAGCCAAGGACGCAUGGUGGGUUUUGGACCGUGUGUUUCUUUAUUUGGAGGCUUUUCUCGCCUCCAAAGGGAGUCUCGCCAGCCGGCCACUUGGGCAUAGCCGCUGGGGAGGGCUGACCCAGCCGCCAACCCCAGCUUCUUUAUCUGUUCACGCGAGCGAGCAGAGCGUGCUCCCGCCUCUUCCCUGAAGAAAAGAAAGGAUCACACACAAAAAUAAGUCACUAGGGCCCCAGCCGGGCGGCGCGAGCUGCCGCUGCUGCCACCAGAGUCCCUUUGCCAGCAAGAAAGGAGCCGGCUCAACGGAGCGCACGCCCGGGAGGCACUGAGCCCAGGGCUCCCAGGCGCCCCUCCUCGCCCGCUGCCCUCCCUUGGCUCCUGGGAGCGUGGGAGAGCAGAGCCAGGGGACUGCGAGGCCUGGCCUAGCUGCCUGGGUGGGAUCCACCUACACACACACACACACACACACACACACACACACACACCGGGGAGCACACCCACCUAGAGAAACGCGCAGACAGUUACUACACCUACAUUUGGA
ensembl:lncRNA